rnacentral:rRNA from 1 species
UACGGAGGAUGCGAGCGUUACCCGGAUUUAUUGAGUUUAAAGGGUGCGUAGGCGGAUUUUUAAGUCAGCGGUAAAAUGUCCGGGCUCAACCCGGGCCGGCCGUUGAAACUGGGGAUCUUGAGUGGGCGAGAAGUAUGCGGAAUGCGUGGUGUAGCGGUGAAAUGCAUAGAUAUCACGCAGAACUCCGAUUGCGAAGGCAGCAUACCGGCGCCCGACUGACGCUGAGGCACGAAAGCGUGGGGAUCGAACAGG